rnacentral:ncRNA from 1 species
CUAAGGUUUCCUGAGGAAGGCUCGUCCGCUCAGGGUUAGUCGGGACCUAAGCCGAGGCCGAUAGGCGUAGGCGAUGGACAACAGGUUGAGAUUCCUGUACCAGUCUUUGUUGUUUGACGAUGGGGUGACACAGAAGGAUAAGGAAGCGCACGGAUGGAAGAGUGCGUCCAAGCAGUGAGUGUAAGAAGUAGGUAAAUCCGCUUCUUGUGAAGCAUGAGCUGUGAUGGGGAAGGAAAUCAAGUACGGAAGUUCCUGAUUUCACGCUGUCAAGAAAAGCCUCUAAGGAGAGAAAGACUGCCCGUACCGCAAACCGACACAGGUAGAUGAGGAGAGAAUCCUAAGGUGAGCGAGAGAACUCUCGUUAAGGAACUCGGCA